rnacentral:tRNA from 1 species
GCCCGGGUGGCGAAAUGGUAGACGCGGGGGGCUUAAACCCCCCUGGCCAGAAAUGGCUGUGUGGGUUCAAAUCCCGCCCCGGGCACCC